AUUGAACGCUGGCGGCAGGCCUAACACAUGCAAGUCGGGCGAGUGGCGGACGGGUGAGUAAUGUAUGGGGAACUGCCUGAUGGAGGGGGAUAACUACUGGAAACGGUAGCUAAUACCGCAUACCAUCAGAUGAACCCAUAUGGGAUUAGCUAGUAGGUGAGGUAACGGCUCACCUAGGCGACGAUCCCUAGCUGGUCGGAGAGGAUGAUCAGCAACACUGGGACUGAGACACGGCCAAGACUCCUACGGGAGGCAGCAGUGGGGAAUAUUGCACAAUGGGCGCAAGCCUGAUGCAGCCAUGCCGCGUGUAUGAAGAAGGCCUGCGGGUUGUAAAGUACUUUCAGUCGGGAGGCGUUACCCGCAGAAGAAGCACCGGCUAACUCCGUGCCAGCAGCCGCGGUAAUAC
rnacentral:rRNA from 1 species